rnacentral:rRNA from 1 species
UACGUAGGGUGCGAGCGUUGUCCGGAAUUAUUGGGCGUAAAGAGCUCGUAGGCGGUGUGUCACGUCGAUCGUGAAAACUUACAGCUUAACUGUGAGCGUGCGGUCGAUACGGGCAUCACUGGAGUUCGGCAGGGGAGACUGGAAUUCCUGGUGUAGCGGUGAAAUGCGCAGAUAUCAGGAGGAACACCGGUGGCGAAGGCGGGUCUCUGGGCCGAAACUGACGCUGAGGAGCGAAAGCGUGGGGAGCGAACAGG